AGAGUUUGAUCCUGGCUCAGGAUGAACGCUGGCGGCGUGCCUAAUACAUGCAAGUCGAACGGAGAGCUUCUGGUAAUUUAUUACUGGAUGUCUCUUAGUGGCGAACGGGUGAGUAACGCGUUGGUGACCUGCCCCGAAAUGAGGAAUAACUCCGGGAAACUGGAGCUAAUACCCCAUGUGGUCUGUGGAUUUAGAAACCACUUACUAAAGGUCUUCGGAUCGUUUCGGGAGGGGCCUGCGUCCCAUCAGCUAGUUGGUAGGGUAAUGGCCUACCAAGGCGACGACGGGUAGGGGACCUGAGAGGGUGAUCCCCCACAGUGGAACUGAAACACGGUCCAUACACCUACGGGUGGCAGCAGUAGGGAAUAUUGCCCAAUGGACGAAAGUCUGAGGCAGCAACGCCGCGUGUGCGAUGAAGGCCUUCGGGUUGUAAAGCACUUUUCUGAGGGAAGAGGAAGGACGGUACCUCAGGAAUAAGUCUCGGCUAACUACGUGCCAGCAGCCGCGGUAACACGUAGGAGGCAAGCGUUAUCCGGAUUUACUGGGCGUAAAGCGCGUGCAGGCGGUUUGGUAAGUUGGAUGUGAAAGCUCCUGGCUUAACUGGGAGAGGUCGUUCAAUACUGCCAGACUAGAGGACGGUAGAGGAAGGUAGAAUUCCUGGUGUAGUGGUGAAAUGCGUAGAUAUCAGGAGGAAUACCAGAGGCGAAGGCGGCCUUCUGGGCCGUUCCUGACGCUAAGACGCGAAAGCAUGGGUAGCAAACGGGAUUAGAAACCCCGGUAGUCCAUGCCGUAAACGAUGCAAACUUGGUGUUGGUGGUGUAAAAGCCAUCAGUGCCGCAGCUAACGCGAUAAGUUUGCCGCCUGGGGAUUACGGCCGCAAGGUUAAAACUCAAAGGAAUUGACGGGUUCCCGCACAAGCAGCGGAGCGUGUGGUUUAAUUCGAUACGCGAAGAACCUUACCUGGGCUUGACAUAUAGGUGGUAGGAAGCCGAAAGGUGACCGACCCUUCGGGGAGCCUAUACAGGUGCUGCAUGGCUGUCGUCAGCUCGUGUCGUGAGAUGUCCGGUUAAGUCCGGUAACGAGCACAACCCUUGCCGUAUGUUAUACGUGUCAUACGGGACUGCCGAUAUAAAAUCGGGGGAAGGCGGGGAUGACGUCAAGUCAGCAUGGCCUUUAUGUCCAGGGCUACACACACGCUACAAUGGCC
rnacentral:rRNA from 1 species